AAACUGCGAAUGGCUCAUUAAAUCAGUUAUCGUUUAUUUGAUAGUACCUUGCUACUUGGAUAACCGUGGUAAUUCUAGAGCUAAUACAUGCGAAAAACCCCGACUUCGGGAGGGGUGUGUUUAUUAGAUAAAAAACCAAUGCCCUCACGGGCUCUUUGGUGAUUCAUAAUAACCAAACGAAUCGCAUGGCCUUGCGCCGGCGAUGGUUCAUUCAAAUUUCUGCCCUAUCAACUUUCGAUGGUAGGAUAGUGGCCUACCAUGGUAUCAACGGGUAACGGGGAAUUAGGGUUCUAUUCCGGAGAGGGAGCCUGAGAAACGGCUACCACAUCCAAGGAAGGCAGCAGGCGCGCAAAUUACCCAAUCCCGACACGGGGAGGUAGUGACAAUAAAUACUGAUACAGGGCUCUUAUGGGUCUUGUAAUUGGAAUGAGUACAAUUUAAAUCCCUUAACGAGGAACAAUUGGAGGGCAAGUCUGGUGCCAGCAGCCGCGGUAAUUCCAGCUCCAAUAGCGUAUAUUAAAGUUGUUGCAGUUAAAAAGCUCGUAGUUGAACCUUGGGCCUGGCUGGCCGGUCCGCCUCACCGCGUGCACUGGUUCGGCCGGGCCUUUCCUUCUGGGGAUGCGCAUGCCCUUCACUGGGCGUGUCGUGGAACCAGGACAUUUACUUUGAAAAAAUUAGAGUGUUCAAAGCAGGCCUUUGCUCGGAUACAUUAGCAUGGAAUAAUAGAAUAGGACGGCUUUCCUAUUUUGUUGGUUUCUAGGGAAGCCGUAAUGAUUAAUAGGGAUAGUCGGGGGCAUCAGUAUUCAAUUGUCAGAGGUGAAAUUCUUGGAUUUAUUGAAGACUAACUACUGCGAAAGCAUUUGCCAAGGAUGUUUUCAUUAAUCAGUGAACGAAAGUUAGGGGAUCGAAGACGAUCAGAUACCGUCGUAGUCUUAACCAUAAACUAUGCCGACUAGGGAUCGGGCGAUGUUACUAUCUUGACUCGCUCGGCACCUUACGAGAAAUCAAAGUCU
rnacentral:rRNA from 1 species